AUAGAAAAGGUUCUUUCCCUGUUGUCAUGGUUGGCGGUGUCCUUGAAGCAAAUAAGAACUGGGAUAUUGGAAAAGAAGUCCUGAAGUGCAUCCAGGAUCAAUUUCCUGGGGCUUUUCCGGUCAGACCACAGGUUGAACCAGCUGUUGGGGCAGCAUUGCUGGCUUUGAAUUACAUGAAA